GACGAACGCUGGCGGCGUGCCUAAUACAUGCAAGUAGAACGCACAGGAUGCACCGUAGUUUACUACACCGUAUUCUGUGAGUUGCGAACGGGUGAGUAACGCGUAGGUAACCUGCCUGGUAGCGGGGGAUAACUAUUGGAAGCGAUAGCUAAUACCGCAUAAGAACAUUUACUGCAUGGUAGAUGUUUAAAAGGUGCAAAUGCAUCACUACCAGAUGGACCUGCGUUGUAUUAGCUAGUAGGUGAGGUAACGGCUCACCUAGGCGACGAUACAUAGCCGACCUGAGAGGGUGAUCGGCCACACUGGGACUGAGACACGGCCCAGACUCCUACGGGAGGCAGCAGUAGGGAAUCUUCGGCAAUGGGGGGAACCCUGACCGAGCAACGCCGCGUGAGUGAAGAAGGUUUUCGGAUCGUAAAGCUCUGUUGUUAAGGAAGAACGAGUGU
rnacentral:rRNA from 1 species